rnacentral:rRNA from 1 species
GAUGAACGCUGGCGGCGUGCUUAACACAUGCAAGUCGAACGGGAAACCUCUUAUUGAAGCUUCGGCAGAUUUAGCUGGUUUCUAGUGGCGGACGGGUGAGUAUCGCGUGGGUAACCUGCCUUCUACAGGGGGCUAACAAUCAGAAAGGAUUGCUACUCCCGCAUAAGCGUACAGGAUCGCAUGGUUCGGUGGUAAAAACUCCGGUGGUAUCAGAUGGACCCGUGUUGGAGUCGCUAGCUUGCAGAGUAAUGGCCUACCAACGCGACGAUCCAUAGCCGGGCGGAGAGGGUGAACGGCCACAUUGGGACUGAGACACGGCCCAGAAUCCUACGGGAGGCAGCAGUGGGGAAUAUUGCAGAAUGGAGGAUACCCUAAUGCAGCGGCGCCGCGUGAAGGAGGAAGUAUCUCGUUAUGUAAAUUUCUAUCAGCAGGAGAGUUAGUGACGGUACCUGACUAAGAAGCCCCGGCUAACUACGUG